rnacentral:rRNA from 1 species
UACGUAGGGACCGAGCGUUGUCCGGAAUCAUUGGGCGUAAAGAGCGUGUAGGCGGCCUUUUAAGUCCUGCGUGAAAUCCUGCGGCUCAACCGCAGACGGUCGUGGGAAACUGGAAGGCUAGAGUGCGGGAGAGGAGAGUGGAAUUCCCGGUGUAGCGGUGAAAUGCGCAGAUAUCGGGAAGAACACCCGUGGCGAAGGCGGCUCUCUGGAACGCAACUGACGCUGAGACGCGAAAGCGUGGGGAGCAAGCAGG